rnacentral:sRNA from 1 species
UGCUAUAUAAUAGACCGUAAUGUUGGUUAUGUUUGAUCAUCGGGCAGUGCACUCUGCAAAUUAACAAACAUACUUCAAAAAAAUAUGGGGCGUCUCGUUAGUGGUGCUACUCUUUUGGCUUUGUUAUGUUUCCAUGUUUUUGUGGUGAAUGUUGUAGCGAGAGAUGUGAGCUCGGGAAGAGAUGAGGAUGAGAAGACGUUAGUUGGAGGAGGAAAGGGUGGUGGCUUUGGCGGUGGAUUUGGAGGAGGAGCCGGUGGUGGAGUUGGAGGAGGAGCCGGUGGUGGCUUUGGAGGAGGAGCAGGCGGUGGGUUUGGAGGAGGUGGUGGUGGAGGUGGAGGUGGAGGUGGUGGUGGUGGAGGAGGCUUUGGUGGUGGAGGAGGUUUUGGUGGUGGACAUGGUGGAGGUGUUGGUGGUGGAGUUGGCGGUGGACAUGGCGGAGGAGUCGGUGGUGGGUUUGGAAAAGGUGGAGGGAUCGGAGGUGGAAUUGGAAAAGGUGGAGGAGUUGGCGGUGGCAUCGGUAAAGGCGGCGGCAUUGGUGGUGGAAUAGGCAAAGGUGGAGGAGUUGGCGGCGGUAUCGGUAAAGGUGGAGGUAUCGGUGGCGGGAUCGGCAAGGGCGGAGGUAUCGGUGGCGGGAUCGGCAAGGGUGGAGGUAUCGGUGGCGGGAUCGGCAAGGGUGGAGGUAUUGGUGGUGGGAUCGGCAAAGGUGGAGGAGUUGGCGGUGGUUUUGGUAAAGGCGGAGGUGUUGGCGGUGGAAUUGGCAAAGGCGGAGGAGUUGGCGGUGGUUUCGGCAAAGGCGGAGGAGUUGGUGGUGGAAUUGGCAAAGGUGGAGGUAUUGGCGGUGGCAUUGGCAAAGGUGGUGGAAUUGGUGGGGGCAUUGGCAAAGGCGGAGGCAUUGGUGGGGGAAUAGGUAAAGGCGGUGGAAUUGGUGGCGGCAUUGGCAAAGGCGGAGGGAUUGGUGGUGGAAUAGGCAAAGGCGGUGGAAUUGGUGGCGGCAUUGGCAAAGGCGGGGGCAUUGGCGGCGGAAUUGGCAAAGGCGGAGGCAUUGGUGGUGGAGGUGGAUUUGGUAAGGGUGGAGGCAUUGGUGGUGGUAUUGGUAAAGGUGGGGGUAUUGGCGGAGGAGGUGGAUUUGGUAAGGGUGGAGGCAUUGGAGGCGGUAUUGGCAAAGGCGGAGGCAUUGGGGGCGGUUUCGGCAAAGGUGGAGGCAUUGGUGGUGGCAUUGGAGGUGGAGGAGGCUUUGGUGGAGGAGGUGGAUUUGGAAAAGGUGGAGGAAUCGGUGGUGGAAUAGGCAAAGGAGGAGGUUUCGGCGGAGGAGGUGGAUUUGGGAAAGGUGGAGGUAUUGGUGGAGGAGGUGGAUUUGGUAAGGGCGGAGGAUUUGGCGGUGGAGGCUUCGGAGGUGGUGGCGGAGGUGGAGGCGGAGGAGGUGGCGGAAUCGGACACCACUAAACAAAAACACAUGAAGAAGUUGCAUUGAGUGCAUGUCUCACGUCACGUACAACAUGGUUUACAAGUUUGAGAGUGUUGUUACCAAAUAUAGUACUAGUUUUAUCUUUUUAUGUACUUUGUCUCUAUUUGAAUUACUAGCUAUGAGUUUUGUUAGACGUACGCACUCUAAUAAUAUUCAUUUUAUCAUGUAAAACGCUAGGACUGUAUUUGGUUGUAAGUCAAUGUUCUUAAAAAAAUAUUGAUGAAGCAAUGUUACAAAUAUAUAGCAACAUGAAAUGCAAAAUUUGUUAAGAAAUGGAAAUAAACAGAUACAAAAAGAGUAUAAGAGUUUCACGGAUAAAUGUUACAUUCGAUAUAAAUGGUGUUGGUUGAUCCAUAUGUGUUAGG